rnacentral:tRNA from 1 species
UCCCUGGUGGCUCAGUGGUAAAGAACCUGCUUACAAUGCAGUAGACUCGGGUUUGAUCCCUGGAUGGGGAA